GACGAACGCUGGCGGCGCGCUUAACACAUGCAAGUCGAACGGAAGGCCCUGCUUUUGUGGGGUGCUCGAGUGGCGAACGGGUGAGUAACCCGUGAGUAACCUGUCCUUGCCUUUGGGAUAACUUCAGGAAACUGGGGCUAAUACCGGAUAGGAGCUCCUGCUGCAUGGUGGGGGUUGGAAAGUUUCGGCGGUUGGGGAUGGACUCGCGGCUUAUCAGCUUGGUGGUGGGGUAGUGGCUUACCAAGGCUUUGACGGGUAGCCGGCCGGCGAGGGUGACCGGCCACAUUGGGACAGAGAUACGGCCGGGACUCCUACGGGAGGAAGCAGUGGGGAAUAUUGCACAAUGGGCGGAAGCCUGAUGCAGCAACGCCGCGUGCGGGAUGACGGCCGUCGGGUUGUAAACCGCUUUCGCCUGUGACGAAGCGUGAGUGACGGUAAUGUGUAAAGAAGCACCGGCUAACUACGUG
rnacentral:rRNA from 1 species